CCGAAGUUUCUAAACUCACAACCCAUUGUGGAACAUACCUUUGUUGGCUUCGGCGGUCAGGCUCCGGCCGCCGCCGCCGAAGGCCCUUUAAACUCUUGUUUUCCUAGUGACUACUCUGAGUAAAUCUUGAAAUAAAUCAAA
rnacentral:misc_RNA from 1 species